rnacentral:rRNA from 6 species
GCGACCCCAGGUCAGGCGGGGCUACCCGCUGAGUUU